GUAUUUUCAGCUUUGUUCUUAUUUGGUGGUUGGAUUCGUUUGGUAAGUAGUUUCAAUUUAUUAGGAUUCAGGAAUUAAUUAUUGUUUGGUGGCACCAGAGAGGACAGCCAAGUUGAUGAUGGAUGGAUAAGACGUGGAAAGUUACCAAGUCUGAUUUUAUAGUAUAUAAAUAGGUUAUUUGUUAUUCUUAGGUUAUUGUUUUGUUUGUAGAAUUGUCAUUAGUUUAUUGUUUUGCUUGUUUCCCUUAGUCUGAGUUAUUGUUUGUUUAGACUUUGUUUCAUUUAGUGAAUUUUAGUCUUUUAGGAAUAUUUGUCUUGUUAUUUAGUGUAGUAGUUUAAGUUUAAGAUUGCAUUUGCCUGGGGUAAUUUGAGUUUUAAUAUAUGGCGCAGAGUAUUUGUUUCCUUUGUGGCUAUCGAAUUUUGACAAAUAGCG